AAUCAAAGAGGCACCUAUUUUCCUUUGUUCCCAUGGAACCAAAGGGCCCAAAUCACCAUCAACAAGAGUUGCCCACCUUCUUGAAUCCUCCCCCAAAACCAACCAUGGCAGAGAACAACAACAGCAACAGCAAUAGCAACAACAAGAACCCUGCAGAGAUCAAGGAUUUCCAAAUUAUGAUCGCAAAUAAAGAUGAUAACAAGAAGCAACUAGCACCCAAGAGAAGCUCCAACAAAGACAGGCACAAGAAAGUAGAUGGUAGAGGAAGAAGGAUAAGGAUGCCAGCUCUUUGUGCCGCAAGGAUUUUUCAGUUGACAAGAGAAUUGGGUCAUAAAUCUGAUGGUGAAACAAUUCAGUGGCUGUUACAGCAAGCUGAACCAUCGAUUAUUGC
rnacentral:misc_RNA from 1 species